rnacentral:rRNA from 1 species
AGUGAACGCUGGCGGUAGGCCUAACACAUGCAAGUCGAACGGCAGCACAGUAAGAGCUUGCUCUUACGGGUGGCGAGUGGCGGACGGGUGAGGAAUACAUCGGAAUCUACUUUUUCGUGGGGGAUAACGUGGGGAAACUUACGCUAAUACCGCAUACGACCUACGGGUGAAAGCAGGGGAUCUUCGGACCUUGCGCGAUUGAAUGAGCCGAUGUCGGAUUAGCUAGUUGGCGGGGUAAAGGCCCACCAAGGCGACGAUCCGUAGCUGGUCUGAGAGGAUGAUACGCCAAAUGGGAACUGAGGAACGGUCCAGACUCCAAGGGGAGGCAGCGGUGGGGAAUAUUGGAAAAGGGGGGAAAGCUUGAACCAGCCAAACCGGGGGGGGGAAGAAGGCCUGCGGGUUGUAAAGCCCUUUUGUUGGGAAAAAAAAGCAGCGGGUUAAUACCCCGCUGUUCUGACGGUACCAAAAGAAUAAGCACCGGCUAACUUGGG